UUUAAUUAUUUAUUAUAAAAGUAAAUAUAUAUAGAGUUUUCUAGAAGCCCAAUUCAAUUAUCAUCCAUUCUGCCAUUCACGUUCCACCCUAGCAUCGCCGCCACGCACAACCCCAUCCCACCCCGUCAAUCCCGCAACGGCCGGCGACUCGAACAGGCAACCUACAACCGCCACUCCUUCGAUUGUUGACCUGCAACUUUCAUUCCUAUGACCUGCAAUAGUAGUUUGAGUAAUGGUUUGUUUUGUUCAAGACUUCAAGCCUAGUUUGAGUAAAUGUUUGUUUUGUUCAAGACUUAAAAGCCUGGUAUUCAAUUGUUGAGAUUUGGUAUUCGUAUGUAUUAAUCAUUACAGUGGCAAUUACUUUUAAUUUUAUUAUUAUCGUUGGUGUUCAAUUGUUAGAGUUUGGCUUUUAGA
rnacentral:lncRNA from 1 species